GUCAAAGCUCGCUGUAGAAGCAUGAGGCAGAGCUGACCACGUUGCUCCCACAGAAAGAGAGGGGUGUUCACGCUCAGCUGUCUUCCUCCCUUUUGUGCAGCCCGCACCCCCGCCCUGGAAAUCAUUUGGUCUUCCUUUUAGGGUUUCAGAUGCUCAAGUCAGGCCCAGCGUCCUGAAUUAAAUGUCGACCUCUCAGCUACCUCUGCAGCACCAUGUGUGCCUGCAUGGCACCAUGCUUCCCAUUACGACGAUAAUGGACUAAACCUCGGAACUGUAAGCCCUCCCUAAUUAAAUGUUUUCCUUUGUAAGAAUGGUGAUGAUGUCUCUUCACAGGAGUAGAAAUCCAAACUAAGAUCCCAUCAUAGCAGGCCAUAGAAAAAUUCAAAUGCAUAUCCUAGUAAGAGCACCAGUGGAAGGAGAAGCCCUGGGUCCUGCUAAGACUGAACCCCCAGUGAACUAGACUGGUGGGGGGAGGGCGGCAAUGGGGGGAGGGUUGGGAGGGGAACACCCAUAAGGAAGGGGAGGGGGGAGGGGGAUGUUUGCCCGGAUACCGGGAAAGGGAAUAACAUUCGAAAUGUAUAUAAGAAAUACUCAAGUUAAUAAAAAAAAAAAAAAGAAAAAUUCAAAUGCAUCUGAGACAUUCUGGUUUGGUCACGAAGCCUCUCCUUCAGUGGUUCUCCUUUCCAAGCUGAAAAUGACUGACCGUCUAUUGUCAAUUAAUACAGGGUUAUUUUCUUCGGUUCGGGGAAGUACCAUUCAAAUGCGGUGUGAGUGGGGUUUAUGCUCAAGUAGCAAGGAAAUAGAACGCCGGAUAGAAUUCUUGGUCCAGUUAACGCCCUGAAGAGAAAAUUUUCAUUUGAGGCAUCUACGAUUGUUGCUACAGGAGUGGUCAGAGCACAUGUUCUGGGAUGCACAUUUCAGAGGGAACGGCUAUUAGAAACCUGGGAUAUCCUCGGAUGCAUAUCCUACAAAAACCUGCUUCUCCUCAAAGACAGAAAAAACCAGGCCAUUCCCAUUCAGCCUCAUUACCCUUUCGCAAGUUUUUUUUUUUUUCCCUCCUUAAUCUUUAAAGGUCACGGGCAAAGGGGUAGUCUGUUCCGUAGCUGUUUGGUACAAUCAGGAGACUGUCCAGAUGGUUUCUAGCGAGACAUAAAAAUCUCGCUAAAUGCUAUAUAUGGGCCCAAUUCUUUCCUCAAUGUACCAGAGAAAAGCAGACACGACUUAGGUAGGAUAAACCUGACUACUUUGCCAAAGAAACUGGUCAUGGGGUGAUUGGUCUGAAAUUGUGAAUGGCUUCGCUUGGAUGCUAAGACCAAGCCACGCCUUACUCUGACGUGUACACCGUAUUGUACAAAAUAGUGUUGUUCUUUACAAGAUGGUGGGUGGUGAUUCUCAACCCCCUUUGGGGGUUGCAUAUCAAAUGAUAUCCUGCAUAUCAGAUACUUACAUUAGGAUUCCUAACAGGAGCAAAAUUACAAAAUUAUGAAGGAACAACAAAAUAUUUGUAUGGGCCCCCCCUCCGAUAUUUAAUUCCCCAAUCAACAUUUUGUUUUGAUUUUAAUUUAUUUAGUUUUAAUGGGCGGUCACCACAACAGGAGGAAGUUUUAAAAGGUCAAAGCAUUAGAAAGGUUGAGAACCAUUGCUCUAGGAGAUUUUAUUUUACAAGCAGUUUUUUAUUUACUCCAUGUUGAGGAAGAAGGAUGGCUGUGGCCCUUGCAUGGACCAAGGAAGUGUACCCCAUCUGUCAGGCAGCCCUAUCCAGCAGACCGACAAAUGACCUGUUUGGGGGGACUAGAAAGGGAGCCACCCGGUAAGUUUAUUGGGGGCAUUAAAACUAAAUAAAUUAAAAUUAAAACAGAAAAAAUUUAUUGGGGAAUUAAAUAUUGGAGGGGGCACAUGAAAAUCUUACUGGGGAAGGAAACCACACCCAAGAAUUUAAUGGGUACACCAGAUCAAGGAGAAAAUAUAAGUUUAUUGUCUGGCCCCCUUAAAGAGAUAGCCACUUAACCAACUUAUCAUUGAUACCUGCAUGUCUGAGGCAAGGGCCCAAGACUCCUCCUCUCAGACUCUACUUGUUCCCCUGCUGUCGUUAGAGCCUGCCCAUCCACCUGUUGGACCAUCUGGACCCGGUCCUGCCCCGCUGUUUCCUGCUCUUGACUCAUUUCCUGCUCUGGACCCAGUUUGACCUUUCACCCCCUCACAGCUUAAUUAUGCAGCUUUGUUCUCUGACUUUGACUUGCCCCAGCAGUGCCCUCCUGGAGCUGGGUUAUUAUCUUAUCUGUACAGACUCCUUCUCAGCCCACUUCUGAAGCCACUGGGAGCUGUUACAGCCUCUUUAGUGUGUAUUUAUUCUGUAACCCAUAUAUAUAUGGGUAUAUAUAUGUGUAUAUAUAUAUGUGUCAUAUUCACAUAAACAUACACAUAUACAUCAUAUACACAUACCCAUAUAGAGAAGAGAUUGUGUGCUACUGCUAUGGGAGUUAGUAUUUGGAAUAAAGAUCGGAAUAAAGAACUGGCAUUUGCUUCUGCUGAGAUCCGAGAAAAGUAGACAGGUUAUUAUGACAAGUUGCCGUCAUGGAAACUGCUAAACUUUGUGAAUUGAUUGUUACUCACUAGACCCCGACCUUGUGGAAAUGGACGAACGUGUUUGUCUCUGGCAGACACCGGUCCUAUACAACCUUCGAUGGGUGUCCUGAUUUGAAAGCUUGCCAAGUUCCUUUUCCUUAGCUCUUUCCAGUAUCUCUGAGUGAUACCUCGCUAAGGGAGACUGAGGCAGGGAAGGUCGGGGUAAUGGAAUAGAUGUCGUGAAAACAGGAGGGACUGGUAUUUGGAGAAGGAGGGGCAGCAGCAAGAAUGGGGAAAGAAAGUCGAGCAGCACAGGCUGGCCCAACUGUCCCCAUUUGCCACCUAUUCCAAUGGCCGUCCUGGAGGCUUACCCAGGUCCUCCGACAUAUUCGUAAUUGCUAUUUUGAAGUCCUCAUCUCCUGCUUCAGCUGUGAUACAUUUCUUAGGGCCUGCUGCCAUAGGCUUACUGACAUCUGGUGGAGGCAUAUAUAAUGGCUUGGCUGGUCAUGUUUGUGCUUUUGCCUAGGGAUCUAGGCAUCUGUAGUUAUGAGGUUUGAGCUAUUUCUCGGCAUCAUCAGGUCUCAUCUUUGUUGGGUGAGUGUUCUACUCUGUGGUCGCUGUUGCCGUCUCUGGAUCACAGGCAAGUGUGGUGACUGUGGAGGCCCUGGUAGAGAGUGCUUCUGUGGGUGGGUGGGUGGCAGUAGAAAUGGAGAUAGUCAAGGAGGGUCUGUGGGAAAGAGGUAGGAGGACUGAAUUCAUACCUAGAGGGAGAGCCAGGAAGCAGUAGGAGAAAGAAUAAGUCUGAAGAGAAAGGGAUGCAAGGGCUAAGGGGGAGCCUGGGUCACACCAAGAGGUGAAGUCCUCAAUGAAUGGAGUUGGAGUAGAGGAGGGGCUCCUACAAGGAGGAACUUGUUUCAUUUUUUUUAAAGAUGUAUUUAUUAUAUUUAUAUGAGCCCACUGUCGCUGUCUUCAGACACACCAGAAGAGGGCAUCAGAUGCCAUUACAGAUGGUUAUGAGCCACCACGUGGUUGCUGGGAAUUGAACUCAGGACCUCUGGAAGAGCAGUCAGUGCUCUAACCACUGAGCCAUCUCUCCAGCCCCAAGAAUUUGUGUUUUCUUGAUGAUGGCCAUUCUGCCUGGGGUGAGAAGAAAGCUCAAACCAGUUUUAAUUCCCAUUUUCCUGACCACUGAGGAUGUAGAAUGCUUUCUCCAUGUUUAUUCUCCAUUUGUAUUCCUUCUUUUGAAAACCAUCCCGUUCAUUUUAUUUGCCCAUUUAUUGAAUGGACGAUUUUGCUUUGAUGUUUAAUCUCUGCACUUCUUAUGUAUGCGGGAUAGCAGGUUCCCAUGUGAUUUAUAACUGACAAAAAUUUCCUUUUGUCUGCAGGUUGUCUCCAUCCUCCACUGGUUAUUUUCUUUACUGUGCAGAAGCUUUUAAGUUUCAUCUGAUUCCAUUUGUCAAUUCUGAAGCAGUGGAGGCGUUUUUUAUUGUUGUUGUUGUUGUUUUAUUGUUUUCAGUAAGUUCUUGGCUAUACUUGUAUCUUGAAGGUUUUUUCAUGUGCUUUCUUCUAGAACUUUCAAGAUUUCAGGCAUUUCAAUAAAGCUUGGUACUUUGUGUAGGACGAGAAAUAGGGAAUUUUUUUUCACUCCUGUACAUAUGGACAUUCAGUUCUCCCAGUACUAUUUGAAGAGGAUGUCUACCACCAUUGUAUAUUUUUGACAUCUCUGUAAAACUUUAAAUAUCUAUGCUGUGUGGAAUUCUUUUAAUAACACUCGGUUUCUGGUCACUAUGGCUUGGUAGUAUAAUUUGAGAUCAGGUAUUAAUAUCAGCUUUUUCUGCUUGGGAUUGCUUUGUGCUUCUACAUGACUUUUUCAACCGUUUUUUAUUUUGUUCUAGUUCUCUGAAAAAUGUCACUGGAAUGUGUGUGCGACUGUGUAGUGUAAGUGUGCAAAUGUGUGACACCUAUGAAGGUAUAGAAGCCAGAGAUGGAUGUCAGCUGUUCAACACUUAUUGUCCUCCACCUGACCUCUACAUGUAUGAUGUGGCAUGCAUGUAUGUACUCAAACAUACAAGCACACACAAAUAAGAACAAAUAAAAAACAUAUUAAUAAGCUGUCAGAAGACAAUUUGUGGAAAUUGGUUCUCACCUUCCACCACCACCCCCCCCCCCCCAGUUGUCAGGCUUGGUGGCAAAUACCUUUACCUCUAAGCCAUCUCACUGGCUCGGU